GGAGGAUCCAAGCGUUAUCCGGAAUCAUUGGGUUUAAAGGGUCCGUAGGCGGUCUUGUAAGUCAGUGGUGAAAGCCCAUCGCUCAACGGUGGAACGGCCAUUGAUACUGCAGGACUUGAAUUAUUGGGAAGUAACUAGAAUAUGUAGUGUAGCGGUGAAAUGCUUAGAGAUUACAUGGAAUACCAAUUGCGAGGGCAGGUUACUACCAAUUUAUUGACGCUGAUGGACGAAAGCGUGGGUAGCGAACAGGAUUAGAUACCCUGGUAGUCCACGCCGUAAACGAUGGAUACUAGCUGUUGGGAGCAAUCUCAGUGGCUAAGCGAAAGUGAUAAGUAUCCCACCUGGGGAGUACGAACGCAAGUUUG
rnacentral:rRNA from 1 species